rnacentral:rRNA from 1 species
UACGGAGGGUGCAAGCGUUAUCCGGAUUCACUGGGUUUAAAGGGUGCGUAGGAGGGCAGGUAAGUCAGUGGUGAAAUCUUCGAGCUUAACUCGGAACUGCCGUUGAUACUAUCUGUCUUGAAUACCGUGGGGAUGAGCGGAAUAUGUCAUGUAGCGGUGAAAUGCUUAGAUAUGACAUAGAACACCAAUUGCGAAGGCAGCUCGUUACACGAAUAUUGACUCUGAGGCACGAAAGCGUGGGGAUCAAACAGG